UCUAGCUCAGGAUAAAACCGUCGAAAGACGGUGACACAUAAGCCACGGAUCUACUGCCUUUAAGCUAUGAUAGCCGGGUUGCGUGG
rnacentral:ncRNA from 1 species